rnacentral:rRNA from 1 species
CAGCCGCCGCGGUAAUACGAAGGGGGCUAGCGUUGUUCGGAUUUACUGGGCGCAAAGGGCGCGUAGGCGGACUGAUAAGUCAGGGGUGAAAUCCCAAGGCUCAACCUUGGAACUGCCUUUGAUACUGUUUGUCUUGAGUUCGAGAGAGGUAAGUGGAACUGCGAGUGUAGAGGUGAAAUUCGUAGAUAUUCGCAAGAACACCAGUGGCGAAGGCGGCUUACUGGCUCGAAACUGACGCUGAGGCGCGAAAGCGUGGGGAGCAAACAGGAUUAGAUACCCCCGUAGUCCCUGUCUCUUAUAC